GUUGUACUGAAAUACAAUAAAGAGUAUAAUAAAUUAAAUGAUUAUAUACAAACAAGCAAUUUAUUUGGAAAAUUUAUCUACACACACACGCACACGUAUUUCCAGUAAUAAGACUUGAAUUAUAUACUAAUACUCUCCUCCUUUCUUUUUUGUUCUAGGCAAACUGGCAGUCAUACUCUUCUCUAAAUGAGCCAACACUCACCAGGAGACCUCAGUAGAACUCUCUCUUCUCUGCUGGAAAGGUUUUGCCUCCCCAGGACCCAUCCCUCACCAUCCAUGCAUGACAUUCUGAUCUCAAGUAUCCACUCCUCAAAGGAGAAACAGUUCCCAGGGACAGAAAACAGCCAGUGCAAACAUUCUGAGGUAGGCGCAUUCCAGCAUGAUGAUUAAUUUUUCAGCCUAUGAACACUUUCUAAGGAGAUUUUCAUCAUUCAGGCCAUUGGUCCAAAUAUUACUAUUUGACAAAACUGAGAAUAAAAGUAAGUCUCUCUCAAGUUUUCAAAUCUCUCCAAGUUCUCAGGUACGAGGCUUAGCGUGCCCUAUUUCAGAAAUUUAGUUUUCACAUUAGGAGGCCAAAUUUAUGAGCUAAGACCCUUCCUCAAAAUUAUGCUAAAAUGUGAGUGUUGUAUAAUGCUGCAUUGGUCUUUUCUUAAAUUGAGAUAUACAUAGAAGUAAUCAUGUUUAUAGUAUCUGAGUCUUGCAAUGUUUUUCUCAGUUUUUCAUGCUGUAGAAUCCUCUGCAUCUCAGAUUAGCUUUCAGCAGUAAGAUAGAGACCUCAAUCCUGUGCCUCUUCCUAUGCAGGUUAAUCCUAAACUAAAGAUAAAGUCUUACAGACUUUAAUGAAUCUUACUGCAAGUCUAAAUCAUGUACAGAACCCUGGUUUUAGAGAGUAUUAGGAAUUUAGCUUAUAGUUUUAUUUUUCUAGCUUCUGCUAACAAUAAAAACUUGCUAAAAGUCAAUAGGAAUAAAUAUUAGGCAAAUUAGUCUCAUCCAUAGAAUCUGUCUAAAACAACAAAAAAGAAAGCACUUUGGUUCUGUGUCUGGUUUUUCUUUUGUUUUUUUGUUUUUGUUUUUUUUUUCAGCAAUGCAUUUCAGCAGGGUAAAAUACUUGAAUAAAAGACAUCAAUGUUUUAGGCUGUCUUUAAAGCUAGAUGUGGCUAAUGACUGAGAUGUUGCCAAUUCCUGGCCAAUGGAAUUUGUGAGAAAAUGUUGGAUAUACUUUCAGAACAAUUCAUUAAAAGGAAUUGACCUAGAUAGAAGGGCCACCUUGUCCUUUUCUAAGUUUCCUCCUUUUACUGGUCCAAGUGUAAGUGGGAUGACUGAGGCUCUAGACACCAUCAUGGGCCAGCAGGCGAUCUUGCUCAUGUAUGUAUGGCAGAGCAAAAACAACUGAGCCUAAUCCUCACUGACACCACGGACUCCUCCUGCCAAGCUGUGAACUUCUUACUACUGGACUUCCUUAUUUGAAAGAAAUAGUUUCAUUUUGUUUAGUCUAUUUUAAUUUGGUAAUUUUUCUCUUUAUGAGUUCCUAUUCACUCCUUACUAGUACAAUCAUCUCAUCCGGUCUUUUAAAACAUUUUUGUAUAAUAAUAAUAAAUAAAUUAAAAAAAAAACAUUUUUGAAGUGAUGGACAUAGGUAAAAAUAUCUAUUUUCACCACUCCGAAUUAGAGGGCAAUUGUGUGAUUUUGAGUGAAUUUUGUCAACUUUUUGAAAGGCUAUCUUUCUUUAGCUUGUGUCAGCUAGUCUUAGAUAACUUAAUUGGCUGAAACUACCCUCAACAGAUUUCCCUGUAUUUCUGAUUAGUUACCAGUGCUGAUGUAAAGUUUUCCCUUCAAAAUGUUGAUUAUUUCAGUGAACUUCAAGUAGAAUUGCUACCUUACACUGAAUUUUCCAGUGUGCUCAUUCAUAUAUGUAUUCAUGUAUAUGUACAAGGACAUAUGUUCAUGUGUGUAUACAUAUAUACACAAAUGCAUACUUAUGAUGUUUGUAAUUUCAUAAACAUUUUUUGAGCACCUAUUAUAUGCUAGAUAUAGGAAAUUUAAAAUGUCUUCAGAGAUCAUAAAUAGGUUUUAUUUGUAUCAAUGUGGCUAAAAUGCAGAGUGAAGAGAAGCUUUUGAAAAUACGACGACUGGGAAACUUAUGCUAAAUAGAGAAAUUCAAAUUAGGUCUAAUAGAAUUUGAUUCUAGAAUGAUGACUACUCUUCUAAAAUAAAAUGAAAACAACAGACUGUUCUCUUUAAACUCAGAGCAAUGAGAAAAUCCUUUACAUAAUACAAAGUUCUUGUUCCAAUUCUUUGAGUAAUCCCUCUGAGUCACGUAAGUCAAAACAAACUAAAUAUUGGAAUAGAAUUAAUUCAAAUAAAUUAAAAAUUGGAAUUUGAAAUUCAUGGCUUCACUUUUUAAUUUUUGUUACUUUCCUUUAACAAUAGGCAGUGAAUUUUUAUUCAUACCAUGAACAACAUUACUUCCUAAUAUGAGUGAAAUAUAACACAAAACACAAAUAAUCUGACCUUAAUUCUGUUACUGGUUAGCCUCAAGGAAUGUUAUGAUAAUGUAUUGUGUUAUGUCUGUAUAAAUCAAUGAAGUCUGAAGAAUAAAAAAAGCAGAUAUUUGAAAACUAUCUUUAACUGCAUACUUUAUGCUGAUUUUAAGCAACAGCAUGCUAUCUCAUAUGUGCAUAUGCUGAUUCAUUACAUAAUGGAAAGGAUACUGUAUUUGGAAUCAGACUCCUGGGUGAGAAUUUUUGCUUUACCACUAAUAAUAAAACCUGUGUUUCCUAUCUGUAAAUGGGAAAAAUAAUGCCUUCCCUACCCUACUUUCACAGUUGUUGGGUAGAUGUAACUUAGGGCCAUGGAAGAGCCCUGACUCUAAAUCAGAACAUCCAUGUUCCAUUCCUGACUCUAUCAUUGAUGCCCUUCAUAGCCUUAAAUACGACACUUUUCCAAUCUUUUCCUUAUUUGGCUUACUUCUAAAUGAAAGGCUAAGUCACUUGUGUCUUAUUGAUAUUCAGUACUUUCUAGUUAAUUUGAUUUUAAAAUAAUUUCAAACUUAUAGAAAUAAUGCAAAUAGCAAAAGUAAUUCUCUUAUAUACUUUAUGCAGAUUCACCAUUUUUGAACAUUUUGUCACAAUUGUUUUAUUAUUCCUUG
ensembl:lncRNA